rnacentral:misc_RNA from 1 species
AACGCAUAUUGCGCCCAUUAGUAUUCUAGUGGGCAUGUCUGUUCGAGCGUCAUUUCAACCUUCAGUAUUCUGAUGUUGGACACUGUAGUUUCGAAACUACAGGGCCUAAAUACAGUGGCGAAAGCACCUAUGCCAAGUGAAGUAAACUCUCGCUACGGCUACAGUGACGAUCUGCCCACACCAUCUUUCAGGUUGACCUCGAAUCAGACAGGAAUACCCGCUGAACUUAA